UGGGGAAUAUUGCACAAUGGGCGGAAGCCUGAUGCAGCAACGCCGCGUGCGGGAUGACGGCCUUCGGGUUGUAAACCGCUUUCGCCUGUGACGAAGCGUGAGUGACGGUAAUGGGUAAAGAAGCACCGGCUAACUACGUGCCAGCAGCCGCGGUGAUACGUAGGGUGCGAGCGUUGUCCGGAUUUAUUGGGCGUAAAGGGCUCGUAGGUGGUUGAUCGCGUCGGAAGUGUAAUCUUGGGGCUUAACCGUGAGCGUGCUUUCGAUACGGGUUGACUUGAGGAAGGUAGGGGAGAAUGGAAUUCCUGGUGGAGCGGUGGAAUGCGCAGAUAUCAGGAGGAACACCAGUGGCGAAGGCGGUUCUCUGGGCCUUUCCUGACGCUGAGGAGCGAAAGCGUGGGGAGCGAACA
rnacentral:rRNA from 1 species